rnacentral:rRNA from 1 species
GACGAACGCUGGCGGCGUGCUUAACACAUGCAAGUCGAACGGAAAGGCCCUGCUUUUGUGGGGUGCUCGAGUGGCGAACGGGUGAGUAACACGUGAGUAACCUGCCCUUGACUUUGGGAUAACUUCAGGAAACUGGGGCUAAUACCGGAUAGGAGCUCCUGCUGCAUGGUGGGGGUUGGAAAGUUUCGGCGGUUGGGGAUGGACUCGCGGCUUAUCAGCUUGUUGGUGGGGUAGUGGCUUAACAAGGCUUUGACGGGUAGCCGGCCUGAGAGGGUGACCGGCCACAUUGGGACUGAGAUACGGCCCAGACUCCUACGGGAGGCAGCAGUGGGGAAUAUUGCACAAUGGGCGGAAGCCUGAUGCAGCAACGCCGCGUGCGGGAUGACGGCCUUCGGGUUGUAAACCGCUUUCGCCUAUGACGAAGCGUGAGUGACGGUAAUGGGUAAAGAAGCACCGGCUAACUACGUG